rnacentral:snRNA from 1 species
CUCAUUUUCCGGUCUUUUGGCUAAGAUCAAGUGUAAUAUUUGUUUUACCAGUUCAAUAUCUGGUAUAUGAACAAUAUGUUCACUUUAACAUUAAAUUCAUUUAUUAUGGGUGUUUUUAUGUGGAGGGUCCAUUAAAACUCAAAUAUCGCUCAGUCACCCAAU